CCUCUGGUGGUCCAGUGACCAGGACUCUGCCCUUCCAAUGCAGGGGCCCAGGUUCGAUCCCUGCUCAGGGAA
rnacentral:tRNA from 1 species